CUAAUUGUAAGAGUGUGUGACCAAUGUUUGUUUUGUUCAUUUGUCAACAAUUCCACAUUUGCACUUCUGAUGAAGUCAACAAUCAGUUGACGAAAUAUUAAGUGACAAAAAAAUAGAAUUGUUUUAAUUCCUGACCGACAGAACCCGAAAAA
rnacentral:lncRNA from 1 species